rnacentral:tRNA from 1 species
GCCCGGGUGGUGAAAUUGGUAGACACGCGAGACUUAAAAUCUUGUGACCGCAAGGUCGUGCCGGUUCAAGUCCGGCCCCGGGCACCA